CCCUUAGAUGUUCUGGGCCGCACGCGCGCUACACUGAUGCAUUCAACGAGCCUAUCCUUGACCGACAGGUCCGAGUAAUCUUUGAAUCUGCAUCGUGACGGGGAUAGAUUAUUGCAAUUAUUAAUCUUCAACGAGGAAUGCCUAGUAGGCGCAAGUCAUCAGCUUGCGUCGAUUACGCCCCUGCCCUUUGUACACACCGCCCGUCGCUCCCACCGAUUGGGUGUGCUGGUGAAAUGUUCGGAUCGGCCGUUUGUCGCGGUUUCCGCGUCAUGUGGCUGAGAAGUUCAUUAAACCCUCCCACCUAGAGGAAGGAGAAGUCGUAACA
rnacentral:rRNA from 1 species